CGGGAACUCUGAGACAGGUGCUGCAUGGCUGUCGUCAGCUCGUGUUGUGAAAUGUUGGGUUAAGUCCCGCAACGAGCGCAACCCUUAUCCUUUGUUGCCAGCGCGUGAUGGCGGGAACUCAAAGGAGACUGCCGGUGAUAAACCGGAGGAAGGUGGGGAUGACGUCAAGUCAUCAUGGCCCUUACGAGUAGGGCUACACACGUGCUACAAUGGCGUAUACAAAGGGAAGCGACCCUGCGAAGGCAAGCGGAACUCAUAAAGUACGUCGUAGUCCGGAUUGGAGUCUGCAACUCGACUCCAUGAAGUCGGAAUCGCUAGUAAUCGUAGAUCAGAAUGCUACGGUGAAUACGUUCCCGGGCCUUGUACACACCGCCCGUCACACCAUGGGAGUGGGUUGCAAAAGAAGUAGGUAGCUUAACCUUCGGGAGGGCGCUUACCACUUUGUGAUUCAUGACUGGGGUGAAGUCGUAACAAGGUAACCGUAGGGGAACCUGC
rnacentral:rRNA from 1 species